GCUGGCUCUUCUGAAAGGAGGGGACAAAUGACAGUCUAUCAAACAGCAUGCUUUCAAAGAAAGAGGAGACCUGUUCCAGAACUGCAGCUUCAGAGGCUCUUUUAACAACAUAAGCAAAACUGGGAGCCAACCUCAUUUUUUCCCCCUGGCUGUAAUGAACACACAGCUUAGCUACAGCAGUCUCCCACCCCCAGUAAAAUGAACUGGAAUUACAAAGCUUAUGAAGAAAACAAGUGUCAUUUUUUUCCCUCUAUCUUUUUCCUUUCUUUUUAAUUGUUUUUUUUUUUUCUUUCUUUCCUAUUACUUUCUCUUUUUUUGGAUCGAAAGUAAGACCAAAUAAUGUCAAAAGGGAAAGGAGAGGGGUUCUGAGAUCAGUCUCAAAUCUCAGAAGAAGACUGCGGGAAAUGGUGCCAAAUUGAAGUGUUUAUCCAUGGCCUCAAGCGGAGGCGGUGCCGGCUUCUUUGUACCACUCGACAUGCUCUGAUCUCAACCUGGUGGCCAGCGGCUGUCAGCAUGGAGGCCUGGGCAUGGUGCUGCUUCCCUGGGUGAUGUCCACCAGGACCUCCAACAUCACCCGCUCAUUAGGAUGUCUCUGAACAGCUGUCAUGUGGUGCUGACUUUUUGUCACAGCUGAUAGUGAAACUUGUCCCCUCAAGCUACUGAUGACACAUUCACUUUGCACCUUCACAGAGAGAGAAAGGGGAGAUCUGCCUUUUGAAGCAGAAAAAGCAACUGCUGCAAACCUGCAGUGUGUUUAAUGGAAGAGGACGUCUGGUUUCCAUGUAACGCUAAUAAAGUAUUCAGUACACUGGCAGGUGGAGCCUGGAAUGGAUGUGGGUGGUGAGGGUUGUGGGAAGCAGAGAGGAGACAGAGGGGUGUUAGAGGAUGGCCAGCUUGUGAUAGCAGGGAAAUCAAAGCCUUGUAAAGAGGAAAAUAUUUUAAAUGUUAUUUCAGUGUUUCAUCAAAAAAGAUUUUGCAAAGCUAUUUGUGACUGACUCUUUGGAGAUCUUGGUAUAAGGUUAUACUUAUACAUGUUUAAAGCAAUUCCAAGAUUUAUCCAUUUAGAAGAAAAACUGUAAAACUUAAAAAAAAAAUGAAAAAGAAAAAAUGUAUUUUCUCCUUGUCUUCAUAAAAGAAGGCAGAAGAAAAAAAAAACAAAAAACAGAGCAAGCAAAUAACCUUUUUUUUUUUUUUUUCCUCCCUGAAAAUAACCCUAGAAACACCCAGCACAGCAUAAAAAAUCAUCAAAUGCUUUUGAACUAAAAGCCAUUCUUUUCUUGGGAAAACAUGUAUAGACAAAAAUACCCAAGCUGCCAAACUGAUAAAUACAAUUGACCUGCUGUGAUGUUAACUUAGAGCUCAUCGAUUUCAUUUCUGAUGUGCCACAGGAACAUUCAUUUGCACUGAGUGCUAGCUAAGACCUUUUCAUUAGUGCUGCAGCAGCUGGAUUGUAGAUUUGGUCAAUGCGGAUGGGUAUGGAAUGACUUGGGCUCUUCUACCCCAGCUUUUGUCUGGCCAGAUGUGAGCUUAUGACAAUAGGCUGUUCCUGUGAAAGGCCAGGCAUGGUAGCCCAGGUGCAGUGCUGGAGUAGAGCUGGGGUCAAGCUUUGUGUUAUGAUUGGAUACUGAAAAAAAAGAAAUAGGUAAUUUGAGUUAAACCUGGUUAUUUACUCAAAACAAGUUCUCAUAAAGCCAUUUUCGAGAUUGUAUCAGAGCAUCUUCCAGUAAUGAAUUAUUCAGUUUAAUCAAUUUUUCACUCUCUCCUGCAUGAUUAGGAAACUGGGAUCUGGGACACAAAAUUGAGAGUGAUCCAUGGAGCAUCUCUAACUUUGAUAAGACCAGCCCUACUGGGAAUUUUCUUCAUUUAAAAACUGGGAGAUAAAGGGAUUGAGGCCGAUGCUGCUGUAGCUGAAAAGGGCGUCUCAUUCCAUACAGUUCAUAGAGACGCUGAGUCCAUUCCAUCCAUUCCAUAUGUCCUACAUCUCUGUGCUGGCAGUGAGAUAGUGAGGUCUGGGAAUGGGGAAUACUGGGAAUACUACUCUUCUCUUCUCUUCUCUUCUCUUCUCUUCUCUUCUCUUCUCUUCUCUUCUCUUCUCUUCUCUUCUCUUCUCUUCUCUUCUCUUCUCUUCUCUUCUCUUCUCUUCUCUUCUCUCUUCUUUUACUUUAUUUUCUUUCUCCUCCCCAGAUAAAAUUGUCUACCUGCAAAAUGAAUCAUCUGAAUUUAGGUUUUCCUUUAAAGUUUUAUGGGCUGCAUAUUUGCUCCCCAUCCUUUCUUUAAUUUUGCUAGUGAGGAGCCUGUCUGUACCAUGCAACUCACAACUGCCUGGGAGACCUGUGACAAGUAAAUUUCAGUCUCUCAGUAGAGCUGGUAUUCUUAGAGCUGCAGGAGCAGUCAUCAUGAAGGGGAAAGCUGUGAACGCCAAUAAAUUAUUGAAGAAAGCAGGAGAAAUAUUUCCUUCUGUUGACACAUUGGCAUUCACCUUUGGGAAUGUAAUCAUGGGAAAGGUAGGCAAUCUUUUGUCAUAGAGAUCUUUUGCUCGGAGAAUUCAGUCUUUUUAAAACCUUAGGAGGGAGCCUGCAAGCCCUCAACAUGGAAGGGGUAUUCAAGUUAUAGGAUGUCUUCAGGCAGACAAGUUUCUCAGAAAUGACAGUGAAACUGAAUUAAGUCUGCAACACAUUAAAAUUACUUGGUGAUAAAAAGGGAGGUUAGUGAGGUAGAGAGUAAACCCCUCCAGCUCCCUGACACCCCGGGACAGUUUCCAAUCAGGAGGGGGAUUGUUUUCUACGAACAAAACAAGACAGCAUUAGUACAAGACAGAGCAUAAACAUGGCAAAAUUUAGAGUUCAGAGAAGAACAGAAGAUGGAAGCCAACCUCUUGGUGUAAGGCAGAGGAAACAGCAAGGACAUGCCUACAAGAUCAACAUUUCCUUUUGGGUUGUGACAUGGGGGAAGGACUGGGGCAGUUCUUGAGAGCUGGGGUGGUGCAGGAGUGGUUUCUUCUAGCCUGAAAAUCUGAUUCUACCUCUUUCUUCCAUCACUGAAACAAAGGAACCUACCCAGGCCUGUGAACAUAGAUUUGUCUGUCUGAAUUUCAAAUUUUGCUUGGAAAGCCAUCAAAUUAGCACUGAUGUUUUAUUCCAACAUCAGAAACGGCAGGGAAAAAUACCCAGGAGCUCGUUGGAUUUAAAUCCACAGAAUCAUCUCCAGUUUUGUUUAGACGAGAUGAGUGAAUAACCCCCCUUCUCAGCAUCAUAUUUGGCUCAAAUCACCAAUUUACUGGUUUACAAAAAUCUAAAACUGCCCCUCCGGCAAAUUAAGGGAUUACGUCAAUCACUCAAGUCCAUUCUACCUGACAACAGCACGCAGCAACAGGGCAAAAGGUUUGAUGCUCUGCUGGAAUGUGAUAAGGAGAAAAUGCCAAAUGACACAUAGGCAAAGUUAUUACCAGCGAGAUGAAGACAAACUGGAGGGAGUUCAGAGAAGUGCAACAAAAAUGAUUAGAGAGCUGGAGGGGUUGAUUUAGAAGGAAAGUUUACAAGAACAACUGGCAAUAUGCACAGCAGGGCUGAGCAACAUCUGAGGGGGGAGAGAGAGCCAGUUGCAAACAUCUGAACAGUGCAAACACCCAGGGAGGAACACAAUUACCCAAGGGGGAAAUAACUAAGAUAAUAGGUUGAAAUUAGGAGAAAGAGAUAAACAUCAAAAUAACUUCUCAGUGAAAAGACUGUGGAAUAACCUACUAUGGGAAGACAUGGAAGUCCAAGCCAAGCAGGCUAUAAAUUCCUUCCCACAGCCCCUGCAGAUACAAAAGUCAGCUACAGAUAACUUUGAAAACAAUUUCUAAGCAACAAAUGUCAGAACUUCUGCAAGAAACCAGGUGUGAGAAGGUGUUUAGAACUGAUGAUUUCCAGAUAACUCUACUAGUUUUCUUGCUGUUCAAAUGCACAAUGGGGAGGAGUUUGAAAAGGCUCUUGCUUUCUGUUUCCUGGGUGAAAUGACUGCACUGGAAACCUCCAAAAGUGCAGUUGUGGCAAUCAAGACAUUGCCCACUCAUCGACAAAUAGUUUUCCAGUUGAGAUAGUUGGUUUAAAUCUCCCUCAGGUUUGGAGUGACUGGAAAUCAACACCAGAUAAUGGCUGUUUGGUAGUAGAUGUGACAUGAGUUAAUGCACUCACUUGAAUUUCUAGUGGAUAUUGGACAUGUGCUCACAUUACAAAUGCUUUGAACAGCAUGAUCAGCAUUAAAUUAACAUCUACACUGACAAUCUUGCCAAAGAAAUCCAGAAGGAGAUGGACAUUAGUAAUGAACUGCACGUUCACCUUUGGAGUGAAGUCAUUAGCAAGGUAAACUUUACCUCAUGGGCUCUGAACCUCGUCUCCUCUACUGUAUUUCCUAACUCCUGGAUGGGAUGUCAAUUUGCAAAGCAGAUUAUUUAGCAUAUUUCCUCAGCAUACAAGAAACUGCUACCAUUAAAGAAAAUUUACAUUACAGAACGGUUGUUUAUUAGACAUUAUCAUUAAUUAAUAAGUAUUUUUAGCUGCUUCUUGACAAGGAAGGUGCAUGGCAUGCAUGUGACACAAUUCAUCUGGUUUUAUAGAAGGUAGUAAUAGCUGCAAUGAGUAUAGAAGUAGCACAGGACUCUCUUGCAGAGUGGUAUUUGAAGGUCUGGCUAAGCAAAGCCACUUAGGCCAUUUCUAGUUUAUUGUUGUUACACUUUGGUAUGGCUUUCUAGUAAUUUAUAGGGGUGUUUGUUGAGUUCAUGAGCUCUUGAGACCUGCAUCCAAUAAAAUAGUGAUGUACUUUCUCUUGACUGAAGGCAGAAGCAUAUAUCAUUGCAUGCAGUGGGUCUGAUAUCAUUUUAUGCUGGAUGGGGAAAAAGGCUGUGAAGCUCUGUAGCUUAGUAAAAGAAAAGGAAAAGUAAAGAAAAAUGGCAAUAAAGGACAUCACUUUGUGCAGGGCACUAUUUUGUUUCUAGAUUCUUUAGCUUCAUACAUUAGCAAGCCGGGAAUUUGGUGGGUUAAUCCUACCCUUGACUGUAAGAUCCCAUAUUAGUUAACGAUCUCUUUCUGAACUUGAUAUAAAGCCACAUAAGUUAAUGAGCAGCUAUUAGACAAACCAUUAUUUAUAUACUUAUAUAUAUUCCCAUAAUUUUUCAUCUGUAUUUUAACUUUGCCAUGACAUAGGGUGCUAAUCCUUCAUGCUCUUGCAGUGUUAACAACAAUAUCUUUUCCCAUUUAAUUAAUAUUUUUAAAAGUUGCCUCAUCCUCCACCAUUAACAUCUUCCCCUCUAUCAAACAAUAAGUGAUAUGGAUCAGUCUUAGUCGAUUAGCUGUAAAGAAGAGGAAAAAUCACUAAGGCAGCAAGGCUUAUUCUUAAAGUAACUUCUCUCUUUCCACCUACUUGUCUAUUCUUAGACUACUGUAAACAUAAAAUGGUCAGGCAGCACAUAGAACAGUCCUAUCAUGUAGGAAAAAAAAAAAAAAUUGGUUCCUAGUGUGACUGUGCACCUUUGCAUAAAAUAAAUAAAUAAAAAUCUCUGUCAUGGAAAAGACAAAGGUAGCAUUGCUUUUACUGGUUUUCUCAGAAAUCUAACUUCCCUUCCCUUCCCUUCCCUUCCCUUCCCUUCCCUUCCCUUCCCUUCCCUCCCCUCCCCUUCCCUUCC
ensembl:lncRNA